ACUCUGUAAUUCUCUGGUUCUGGUUACUGGAGCCCUCCCACAGACUCCAGGACUUGGUUUAGAAAUCUCCCUGCCUUUCCCAACUUAGCUCAUAAUGAUCUCAUACAAAAAUUUGGACUUCUCAGAAGAGACGCUGAAACAAUGGGAACUAUGGAGGCUGCGUUAUUCUUACCAUUUGACUAAAUCUGGACAACAUCCAGCUUGACAGAGUCCGCUCAAGUCUGUCUCCAAGUCAUCCCUGAACCACUGGCAUGAGAAGUAGGCACUUGCUAGAAAUGUGGAUGCCUCUCUGGACCUACUCUUCAUUCAGAAUCUCUAUGGUCUGUACCCAGGAAUCUGAAUUGUAAACCAGCUUCCUGUUGAUCUUUGCCCCUGCAGGAAACAGAUGACACACUCAAAUGAGGAUCAUCUGAGGGAUGUUUAAUAAAGAGGCCGCUCUCCAAGAGGACCAAGAUGGAUUUUCAGCCUGGAUGCAUUGGCGGAGAUUCUGCUCAGUGGCAGGGGCCCAGACCAAGUGCUCUCCCAAAAGCCCUUCCAGACUUGCAUUCAGCAACCCCAUGAGGAUCACCAAAAGUCCCCACCAGGGACCCAGAUUCAGCUGCAGAGUCACAGACCUAUGGCUGCACCGGCCAAAUUCAUGGAUCUUUCCUGUCUGUGUUGUCUCUGACUCACCUGGCACAGAUCACUCAUAGCUGUGAGGCUGGGUACACCACGCACCUGGUACCCAUCAUGAUGGGUAAUGAUGCUAGCCUGGAUCCCAGGCCGUCAGCAUUCUGGCUCACAGGCCCGAUGACAGGACAGUGGCACACACCACACGUUUCUCCUUCCUUUCUCCCAAGAUCCUCAGGCAAGAUUCCAGCCUUGGAAAUAUGACCUUCCCUUGUACAGGAUCUUGAAGUUAGGGGAUUACAGGUGGAAACUGAACCCACACUUCCAUCUGGGAGAGGCCUUUCGUUCUAAAACUACAUCAGAACUCAAGUGAGGAGCUUCUAUUCACCAAACUGGGUAUGAUCCAAAGUUUUACUGAGGCACAGAUCCUCCUCCUUUCCCGUUCCCUUCUCCACUUAGACUGUCCCCAAAGCCUAGAGAAAGCAAGAAACUGGAGGAAUUCAUGAAAGGAGUGAAUGAUUUCUCCUAUGUCAAGCAGGUAGACUGCAUUCACUGUAUAUUGUCAGUACUUAUGGGCAGGGACCCAGGCAGGACUCUGACAUCUGUCAGCAUGUGAUUUGCAGGCUCAAUGACAGAACAAAGAUAUGCUUAGUUCCGCUUGCCCUGCCUGGGUCUCCCUAUUUCCUCUGUUGGCAUCAGAUCUCUCCUCUGGGAAGGCGAAUUAAUUAUUAAACCUCUGGCCGAGGACAGUCUGCAGGAUACAUGAUAUUACUCUGCAUUCACAUGGGAUAGAUCUAGAGAUCUAGAGGUCUCUGUGACUCUCCCAAAUACUAUUAGGGCCCAUAAUUUAUCCCCACAGACUGUGGAAAAGCAUAACUCAGAGUUUUAAGUGACCUUUUCCUGACCCUUAAGAGGGAUUAAAGUAGAAAAGAACAGAGGUGAGCUAAGAUGCUCAUGCUGGAUAGCCUCUAUGCUGUGAGUUGGUGAUUCGGCAAAUCAUGUGUUACACCACGUUAUGGACACUUGGGUCAAGGUAGCUGGAGCAAACAUGCACAUGCAUGUGAGUGUUUAAAAGUGGUUAGAGAGGCAGGAGGAGGAGGAAUAGGAUGUAUUGCUGAAGGGUAGAGCCACGUGGUGGAACAAGAAAUGUGACCAAAUGAUGGUCAUUUCAGAUAGUGACAGAUUGGGUCUCAGCCCUGGUGAAGCCCUCAGUCUUCACCACCCAGGUGGCUUUAGCAACUUGUAAACUUUCUUUCCUCUGCCUGUAAAGUGGGAUAAUGAUGUUAAACUUGCUAAGUGAGGGAACAGUAUAUACACCUGCCAAACACAGGCCUUGUCACACAGUAGAUCAUCAGUGAAGGUACACUAGUAUUGUAAGUGAGAACUAACCCACCCGUGAAUGAGCAAACCAGGCCAGAAAAUUUUAUGAACAGUGAGAACUGCAGCUCAAAACCCCAUUUGCUUCCAAAUACGAAAACAUAUCCGUAUUCCGUCUUGUGGUAUAUGAACACUCACUUAUGUCAAUUCAUUUUUCCCCAAGGAAUCAUCUUAGGAUGUUAUUGUUCCCUUUAUAGAAAUAAGGAGACAGAAGCCCAAAGCCAUAUGGUUGGCAAGUCCAGGACUGGACUCCAAGUCCUGUGCAUCUUUGUGCUAUGCCUUUAGUGGUACAGUGGCAUGAGUCACGAAUACGUUCAUCAAACAGCGUUGUCUGUAUGACACUAAAAAGAUGAGCUAUAAAAUGGGACCUAAAGACUCUGUGUUAACUGUAGAAAUUCUAGAAAUCAUUCAUUUAUUUACUCAAUAAAUAUUUAUGAAGAACCUACUGUGUGCUAGGU
rnacentral:lncRNA from 12 species